UCAAAGAAAUUGACGGGGGCCCGCACAAGCGGUGGAGUAUGUGGCUUAAUUCGAUGCAACGCGAAGAACCUUACCAAGCCUUGACAUGCAUCUCUAAUCCGGUGAAAGCCGGUGACUGGAGCAAUCCAGAAUUUGCACAGGUGCUGCAUGGCUGUCGUCAGCUCGUGUCGUGAGAUGUUGGGUUAAGUCCCGCAACGAGCGCAACCCUUGUGAACUGUUGCCACCGGGCCGUGAGGCCCGAGCACUCUGUUCAGACUGCCCUGUGAAACGGGGAGGAAGGUGAGGAUGACGUCAAGUCAGGAUGGCCCUUACGGCUUGGGCUGCACACGUACUACAAUGCUCAGGACAGAAUGAUCCGAGACCGCGAGGUGGAGGAAAUCCAUAAACCUGAGCCCAAUUCGGAUUGGAGGCUGCAACUCGCCUCCAUGAAGCCGGAAUCGCUAGUAAUGGCGCAUCAGCUACGGCGCCGUGAAUACGUUCCCGGGCCUUGUACACACCGCCCGUCACAUCAUGGAAGUCAUUUGUAGCCGAAGUGCGUGCGCCAACCCGCAAGGGAGGCAGCGCCUACGCUAUGAGUGGUAACUGGGAUGAAGUCGUAACAAGGUAACC
rnacentral:rRNA from 1 species